CGGCGUUCCGAUUUCUCAGGAAUGGGGAAACAGAGGCACGGUGGGGGCUAGGCCUGGGGCUGGGCGCUGACCUAGGACCCUGCCCCGCCCCGCCUUGCGCCGCGCCCCUCCCGGGCCGGGCUUGCCCGAGCGGCUCCACGCGGGCCCGGGGCUAGUCCACCCGACAGGAGCUGGGGGCUGCAGCCCACGAGCCCACGAGCCCGCAGCGACGCAUCCGGAGUGUAACCGCGCAGAGUCACGGAAACACUUUCCCGGUGUGGGCGCCUCGCUGCGCUUCUUCCCCGCGGACUGCGGCCCCCCGGGGCAGGACAGAGCCGAGAUGCCCGGUCGGGAGCGAUGCCUACGUCGGGGCGAUGCAGCGGGGGAGAUGCCUGGGGGGAGGCGCUGUGAGUCCACCUUUCACUUACCGGAGCCACAUCCAGAACCUUCUCCUGGGACCACAGCGUGGGCUUCCGAGACCUGUGUGACCUCAGCUCUGCCCCUUCCAGGCUGCGUGGUGAAGCCCUCAGGACACUCCGCCUGGGUUGGUCGGCCGGUGACCGCCACGCGGGCUCGUCUCACUCUCACACUCAGGCCGAGAAAACGCCGAAAGCCGUGUCACCAACGGAGGACCUCGGGGCCACAUUCAGCCUGCAGAGUUUAUUUGGUCGGCUCAGACAUUUGUGUUAGGAAAUAACACAUUAAAAGUACACAUUUUCUUCAGACCCUGAGAGCGGACGAGUCCCGCGCGCUCCGCACCGCCAGUCCCGGUCCCGCGCCCGCCCAGAGGGCCGCCCUCCUCCCGCCGACCCGGCUCGGGGCUGAGGCGUUAAUCCCGCCCCCGGGGGGCCGCGCCGGGAGCCCGAUCGCCUUAGGCUCAAGGGCUUAGGUCCCAGCCCACAGGUCCCAGCCCACGGGGCCCAUCCGCACCGCACUGAGCGGCCUCCGCGCCAGGUAAGGGGAUUCGGGGCGGGACCGGGACCCGCGCUGCCGGCCAUCCCGGAAACCCGCGGUGGGCCGUUGAGUGCGCGCCGAGCCGCCGCCAACGGCCAAGCCACGGGAACAAACCGCGGCGGCCG
rnacentral:lncRNA from 10 species